rfam:Clostridium disporicum strain 2789STDY5834856 genome assembly, contig: SCcontig000003
UAAAGAUUAAAAAUAUUCGCUUAUAUAUUUCUGGUAAUAAGGUCUAGAUGUUUCUACUCAGCUACCGUAAAAAGCUGAACUAUAAGCUAGUUGGAGGUAUUU